rnacentral:rRNA from 1 species
GUACACACCGCCCGUCACACCAUGGGAGUGGGUUGCACCAGAAGUAACUAGUCUAACCGCAAGGGGGACGGUUACCACGGUGUGAUUCAUGACUGGGGUGAAGUCGUAACAAGGUAGCCGUAGGUGAACCUGCAGAAGGAUCA